GUCGAGAAUCUUGGGCAAUGGGCGCAAGCCUGACCCAGCAACGCCGCGUGAAGGAAGAAGGCUUUCGGGUUGUAAACUUCUUUUACCAGGGACGAAACAAAUGACGGUACCUGGUGAAUAAGCCACGGCUAACUACGUGCCAGCAGCCGCGGUAAUACGUAGGUGGCGAGCGUUAUCCGGAUUUAUUGGGUGUAAAGGGCGUGUAGGCGGGACAGCAAGUCAGAUGUGAAAACCAGAGGCUCAACCUCUGGCCUGCAUUUGAAACUGUUGUUCUGGAGUGUCGGAGAGGUAAUCGGAAUUCCGUGUGUAGCGGUGAAAUGCGUAGAUAUACGGAGGAACACCAGUGGCGAAGGCGGAUUACUGGACGAUAACUGACGCUGAGGCGCGAAAGCGUGGGGAGCAAACAGGAUUAGAAACCCCGGUAGUCC
rnacentral:rRNA from 1 species